CAUUGUAAAUAUACGGGUGUGCUACCGACGUUGAUUGUUCUCGAUUGGUCACAGUGAUUCAGUUACAUCAGGAAUACGCAAUUACUCUAUUAGCAAAGAGUUGCUCUAAGGUAAGGAUUAUUGGAUGUAUGCCUUAGAAGCCAAUCUUGGCUGACACAUUACAUACCUCUAGGACAUGAUUGGAUAGUUAUAUUACUAUUCAUGUCUAUGUGUUCAUGAAUCAUUUAAGGGAUUAACAAGAUGAUGACACAUAUUAUCAAAAAGUUGAGAAUUUGAGGCAUAUGUCAUUGAUGGUUGAUUCUUAAAUUACUUCGGAUCAUAAGAUCAUCAUAGGG
rnacentral:lncRNA from 1 species